GAAGUGCGAUAUGUAAUGUGAAUUGCAGAAUCUGUGAGUCAUCGAGAUCUUGAACGCACAUUGCGCCCAAAGGACACCCAACUUUGGGCACGUCUGUUUCAGUGUCGUUUUUAUCAGUUCUCAUUUCUCCUUGUGCGGCCAAGGAGCAAUGGGGUGGUUGACUGUUGACUGGUGUUGCAACGAACGUCAUCAGUUGAAAUGCACAGCAAUGGUUGGUCAGCCACUUUCCAAUGCAGCCUUCUUUGCUGAUCUUUACCAAGCGGAAAGAAGCUGCUGUAAUUGGCAAAGAGAGGUUGAUCGAUCAAACCCAGGAGACAAUUCUAAAGGCGACCUGAAAUCAGGCGAGGUUACCCGCUGAACUUAA
rnacentral:misc_RNA from 1 species